rnacentral:rRNA from 1 species
GUGGGGAAUCUUCCGCAAUGGGCGAAAGCCUGACCCAGCAACGCCGCGUGAAGGAAGAAGGUUUUCGGAUCGUAAACUUCUAUCCUUGGUGAAGAUAAUGACGGUAGCCAAGAAGGAAGCCCCGGCUAACUACGUGCCAGCAGCCGCGGUAAUACGUAGGGGGCAAGCGUUGUCCGGAAUGAUUGGGCGUAAAGGGCGCGUAGGCGGCCCGGUAAGUCUGAAGUGAAAGUCCUGCUUUUAAGGUGGGAAUUGCUUUGGAUACUGUCGGGCUUGAGUGCAGGAGAGGUAAGCGGAAUUCCCGGUGUAGCGGUGAAAUGCGUAGAGAUCGGGAGGAACACCAGUGGCGAAGGCGGCUUACUGGACUGUAACUGACGCUGAGGCGCGAAAGUGUGGGGAGCAAACAGGAUUAGAAACCCUGGUAGUCC